GCCGGAGUAAGUAGCACAGCAAAUACCAAAGCAAAUGUUCUAGCGCACAGAUCAUUUGGAAUAACCUUGCAAACUGUGGUGUUAAAAUUCAAGGCACUUAAAAGUUUCCGUUUCAGGCACAUCAAAAUCUCACUCGGCCUGCCUGUUCCUUAGCAGAUUUUGUCACCAAUUCCUUCAGAUCCAGUGCUGAUUCUGUGUGUGCGUGUUCAACAGAUGAAAUGGCCAAGCCGACAAAUCUCUUUAGCAACAAUGUUUUUAGAAGUUUGAGCUUUGAGAAACUUGAGUUCAAAAUACACAAGAAAAGUAAAACGUUGUCUGAAAUUUGUAAGCUGUAACAAAAAACUAACUUGUAACUCAGCACUCCCCAGCCUGGUGCCAUCCAGAUGUUUGGGACUACAACUCCCAUCAGACCCUCUUCUUGGGUCCAUCUCAGCAUCUCUUCCUGGGAUGAGGAACGGAGGAGGGCAAAGAGGUGACCCAAGGAAGGGCUUUCACUGCCCGCUCCUCUUGCCUGCCUGGCCUCAAAGUAGCUUGGGGACAGCAUCAGAUUUCGGGUGGUGCAGAUGAUUCCCCAGCCACUCUUGGCGGCUCCUAACGGAAUACAGUCAUACCUCGGGUCACAGACACUUCAGGUUGCGUUUUUUCGGAACGGGUUACUUCCGGGUUUCGGCAGUUGCACAUGUACAGAAGUGCUAAAUUGCGCUUUGCACAGAAGCGCCGAAUCGCAACCUGUGUGUGUGCAGACACGCCACUGCGGGUUUUGAACGCUGCGGGUUGCGAACGUGCAUCCUGCAUGGAUCACGUUCACAAGCCGAGCAUCCACUGUAUUAAAAGCACGAUAAAUACAUCAAACAUUUAAAACCUCCCUAAACAGGAAAUAUAUAUAUAUAUAUAUAUAUAUAUAUAUAUAUAUAUAUAUAUAUAUUAUAAACCUAUAUUUAUUUGGGCAGCCCAGGGCCUCCAUACACACUGUCCAGGAUUGCGCCCCGGGGAGGCCACUUUGGGGCUGCCAACACAACGGUUGGGCUUCACCCCUGGAGGUGUACUCCAUUGUCUCUUGAGACAGGCGGAGGCCAACAACAAUUUAUUUGUGUGCCUACUCAAAGUUAGGCCCUGGUCAGACGGGUGAUUGAGUCGCCACAACUAUGACAUGGUGCACUUGAGAGCAUGUGCAGAGUGAAAUGGGGAGGAGAUCGGUGCCUGUUG